rnacentral:rRNA from 1 species
CCUACGGGAGGCAGCAGUGAGGAAUAUUGGUCAAUGGCCGUAAGGCUGAACCAGCCAAGUCGCGUGAAGGAAGAAGGAUCUAUGGUUUGUAAACUUUUUUUAUGGGGGAAUAAAGGUAUCAGUGUGUGGAUAUUCGCAUGUACCCUAUGAAUAAGCAUCGGCUAAAUCCGUUCCAGCCGCCGCGGUAAUACGGAGGAGGCGAGCGUUGUCCGGAUUUAUUGGGUGUAAGGGGUGCGUAGGUUGUUUUUUAAGUCAGCGGUGAAAGUUUGUGGCUCAACCAUAAAAUUGCCGUUGAAACUGGAAGACUUGAGUGUGUUUGAGGUAGGCGGAAUGCGAGGUGUAGCGGUGAAAUGCAUAGAUAUCACGCAGAACUCCGAUUGCGAAGGCAGCUUACUGGGCCAUAACUGACACUGAAGCACGAAAGCGUGGGGAUCAAACAGGAUUAGAUACCCGAGUAGUC